rnacentral:tRNA from 1 species
GCCUAGUUAGCUUAGUUGGUAGUGCGUAUGCCUUGUAACCGCUAGGCCGCGGGUUCGAUUCCCGCCCGGGGCG